AGUCCUACACUCGAACGCCCGCCGAUGGUGUAUUCUGUAGUUGGAAGAUUCUUCCGCUAGCAAAUCGUUUUGAAAAGACGUAGCCUGGUGGAUGCGCGGUGCCAUGCUCCGUGGAAGAUGAAACAACGUUUAAAAUCCUGCACGCCCCCAUGUGGAGCCUACAUGAAUAAUAUCAAUAGCUAACAUGUAUUAAGCACUGUAUCAGGAAAUGUUCUUACAUGUAUUUACUUAUUUAGAGUUGAGAAGAAUUCUAUGAGAUGACGAAUCAAAGCUCCAAAGAUCACAUAAUAAGCCAGAGACACAGCUGGAAGGAGAGGGUCAGAUCCCUUGACGACCUGCUCCAAAGCCCAUCAUUCUACACAGCAGGCUGAAACCUGAAGACACAAGGCUAAGAUGAGGUCCUUGAAGCUGGAUACUGAUGCAUUCGUACAACCUGUAUUACAUUAUAUGGCAUGGUAGGACUUCAUGGACCACUUCCUGCCCUAGAGCAGCCCUAUUAAAGGUUUGUCCUUAUGUAUUUAAAGAGAAAACGUUACCUGGCCACGGCUAAGCAGUAGAUGGCGUUCUCCCUUGGAGUCUUACCACUGUGCUCUGAGAAGCACGCAAAGGACGAUUUGAGUAAAAAGUCAGCACUGGGUGUUGCAUAGUAAAAAGAUGGGUGUGAAUAGCCCACUCUUGAAACUGGAGGGAGGGGGACUUGAGGGAGAUAUGUAUUUUUUAUGAACUUUUCUUUUUUCUUAGCUGCAGCAGUAAUUUUUUUCUGAUUUUGUUGUUGCUGUCUUUGUAAUUUAAAGAACGUAUUUGCAUCUACCGGUGGAGGUAAUUUCAAGGUUUGUCGUCUUGUGAUCUGCUGUGAAAUUGCCAAAGGAUUGAUAGGUUUCUUGCUUGCAGUUUCUUCCUUGAGAGGUGGUAGCUUACUCACAGUGCUUUGUGAGUCCUUGUUCUGAGCCUUAUGCCAGCCCUUGGAGGUCAUUUGUGGUGUGGUGAAACCAUCCACCAUCACAGUGUCUCCAACUUUUGCCCCAAGGACCCUUGCGCCGCAAAGCUGGCUUUUAUUAAGGUUGUGACUCUGAGAUUUGAGGACCCAUUGUUUUAUUUUAAUAUAAAUCCUCAUGGGAACUGAUAUUUUCGGAAAAGAAACCGUGGACCACAUUUUGCUCAAUAAAUACAACACACAGUCUUUAUGCUUGUGUUUAAAUGCGAUGGUCAGGGGGAUUUGCCCCGCUGCGUUUUUACAUUCCAGGCACAGCACGCUGCAGUUGACAAAGGCCUUCAGAAUCAACAGUUGGCCCGCUUCUGCAGCUGCAUGAAUGGGGCAUUUAGAGACAUCUGCAUGAAGGGCUUCAUGGCACCAUGCUCGAUAGGGGUGAACACCGACAGCCUCAUCGGGCCGCACGCCCUGCUUCAGGGCCCAUUCAGUGAGCUCGAUGUACCCAUAGAAGGCAGCGAUGAACAGAGCUACCUUUUUCUGAUACCUGAGUGAAUGAAACAAGUGGGAGUGGGUGUUUAGUAAGUUUAGUAAGUCAGCAAACUGAUAAUGUAGUUACAAAACAUACUAGUUAAGAUAUUUAUUUCUUCUUAACUUUUACAUAGAAUGUUCUCAGGAAAGGUGUAUGGUAAUAUAUAGCUUAAACUGCACAGAUCCUGCUUGUAUAGAUUAUCCCAUUAUGCACAGGCAAAUAAUUCAAAGUGGGCUCCUUGGAGUGGUUUUCUUUUUUAUGAAACUCAAAGUCCCAGUGAAAACAGUAACCUUUAUAUUAAUUGGGAAAGUACUGGAAGAAAUCCAGCACAUUUUAGAA